CAUGAAGCUGGAUUCGCUAGUAAUCGCGCAUCAGCCACGGCGCGGUGAAUACGUUCCCGGGCCUUGUACACACCGCCCGUCAAGCCAUGGAAGCCGGGGGUGCCUAAAGUGCGCUGCCGCAAGGAGCGUCCUAGGGUAAAACCGGUGACUGGGGCUAAGUCGUAACAAGGUACC
rnacentral:rRNA from 1 species